AAAAGUGAACAAGAAACUGAUGUUUGUUUUUUAACAAUUUUUGGGCUGGAAACUGACAUGCCGUUCGGUUCUCCCCAAAAACGACGUUCCUUUUUUGAACCCAUUUUUAAAGAACUAAAAAAAAAAAUUCGAAAAUUGAAAACUAAGUCUUUUAUAGUUUUAAGGGAUUUUAAAGAAGGCAAAAUAAAAGAACUUUCAAAAAUAAACUUGAGAGAAAUCGAGAAAUUGAGGGAAACUCAAAAAAAUUCGAUAAUCAGUAAGCAGAUGAUUCACGAACCGUCUAUUGAAAUUUCAUCUAUGGAUUGGACGAAAUUAUCCCGGACUGAAAAAAAAAUGAAAGAUCUGACUAAUAGAACAAGCAGAAUCAGAAAUCAAAUAUAUAAAAUUACAAAAGAAAAGAAAAAAGGAUCGCUAACUCAAGAAACAAAUAUUAGUUCGAACAAACCAACGUAUUCUGUUAAAAUAUUAGACCCAUCAAAAAGGAUUUGGCGGAUAUUAAAAAAAAGAAACGCUCGAUUAAUCCGUAAAUCCUAUUUGUUUCUAAAAUUUGGCAUUGAAAAGAUAUACAGAAAUAUUUUUAUAUCUACCCUUACUAUUCCAAGAAUCAAUACAAAACCUUUUCGUGAAUCAACAAGAAAACAAAUGAAAAUUAUUGAGAAAAACAUCCACAAUAAUGAAGCAAAUCCCGAAAGAAUUAAUAAAACAAAUAAAAAUAGAAUUAUUUCGACUAUCCAAAAAUUGAUUUCUAAGACUAGUAAUAAGAAUUCAAAGAUUUCUUGUAAUUUAUUGUCUUUUUCACAAUCACAAGCAUAUGUAUUUUACAAAUUAUUACAAGUCCCAAUUUUGAACUUUUAUAAUUUAAGACCCGUUCUUCAAUAUCACGGAACAUCUCUAUUUCUUAAGAAUGAAAUAAAAGAUUUUUUUGAAAAACACGGAAUCUUUAAUUACCAAUUAAGACAUAAACCCCUUUGGAAUUUUGGAAGGAAUACACGAAAACACUGUUUAAGCGGGCAUUAUCAAUAUGAUUUAUCUCGGAUUAAAUGGGCUAGAUUAGUACCACAAGAAUGGCGAAAUAGAGCCAAUCAACACUGUAUGGCUCAAAAUAAAGAUUUAAUUAAAAGAGAUUCGUAUGAAAAAAAUGGAUUAACUCAUUACGAAAAACAACAUUUUUUUGAAGCAGACCUAUUACGUAAUCAAAAAUCGAAUUUUAAAAAACACUAUAGAUAUGAUCUUUUAUCAUAUAAAUCGCUUAAUUAUGAAGAUAAGAAAGACUCGUAUAUUGAUAGAUCACUAGUCCAAGUAAAUAAUAAAGAAGAGUAUUAUUCUAAUUACAAUAGAAAGAAAGUAAAAUUGUUGGCUAUGCUGGGAAGUAUCUCUAUCAAUAAUUAUAUAGGGGAAGAUGAUAUUAUGGAUAUGGAAAAAUUCGUGUAUAGAAAAUAUUUUGAUUGGAGAAUUCUUAAUUUUUGUCUUAGAAAUAAGGCCAAUAUGGAAGCCUGGGUUGAUAUGGAUACUGGUACCAGCAGUAAUCAAAAUACUAGGAUUGGGUCCAAUAAUUAUCAAAAAAUUAAUGCAAUUAAUACCAGAGUCCCCUUUUAUCUUACAAUUCAUCAAGAUGAAGAAAUUAACCCAUCCACUCAAAAGGGGUUCUUUUGUGAUUGGAUGGGAAUGAAUGAAGAAAUACUAAGUUGUCCUAUAUCAAACCCAGAAUCUUGGUUCUUCCCAGAAUUUGUACUACUUUUUAAUGAUAUAGAACGAAACCUGGAUUAUACCAAUCAAAUUACUUCUUUUCAUUUUCAAUGAAAUUAAAAAUAGAAAAGAAGUAAUUUUGAUUGGUAUAAUCCAGGUUUCGUUCUAUAUGCAUAAAAAGUAGUACAAAUUCUGGGAAGAACCAAGAUUCUGGGUUUGAUAUAGGACAACUUAGUAUUUCUUCAUUCAUUCCCAUCCAAUCACAAAAGAACCCCUUUUGAGUGGAUGGGUUAAUUUCUUCAUCUUGAUGAAUUGUAAGAUAAAAGGGGACUCUGGUAUUAAUUGCAUUAAUUUUUUGAUAAUUAUUGGACCCAAUCCUAGUAUUUUGAUUACUGCUGGUACCAGUAUCCAUAUCAACCCAGGCUUCCAUAUUGGCCUUAUUUCUAAGACAAAAAUUAAGAAUUCUCCAAUCAAAAUAUUUUCUAUACACGAAUUUUUCCAUAUCCAUAAUAUCAUCUUCCCCUAUAUAAUUAUUGAUAGAGAUACUUCCCAGCAUAGCCAACAAUUUUACUUUCUUUCUAUUGUAAUUAGAAUAAUACUCUUCUUUAUUAUUUACUUGGACUAGUGAUCUAUCAAUAUACGAGUCUUUCUUAUCUUCAUAAUUAAGCGAUUUAUAUGAUAAAAGAUCAUAUCUAUAGUGUUUUUUAAAAUUCGAUUUUUGAUUACGUAAUAGGUCUGCUUCAAAAAAAUGUUGUUUUUCGUAAUGAGUUAAUCCAUUUUUUUCAUACGAAUCUCUUUUAAUUAAAUCUUUAUUUUGAGCCAUACAGUGUUGAUUGGCUCUAUUUCGCCAUUCUUGUGGUACUAAUCUAGCCCAUUUAAUCCGAGAUAAAUCAUAUUGAUAAUGCCCGCUUAAACAGUGUUUUCGUGUAUUCCUUCCAAAAUUCCAAAGGGGUUUAUGUCUUAAUUGGUAAUUAAAGAUUCCGUGUUUUUCAAAAAAAUCUUUUAUUUCAUUCUUAAGAAAUAGAGAUGUUCCGUGAUAUUGAAGAACGGGUCUUAAAUUAUAAAAGUUCAAAAUUGGGACUUGUAAUAAUUUGUAAAAUACAUAUGCUUGUGAUUGUGAAAAAGACAAUAAAUUACAAGAAAUCUUUGAAUUCUUAUUACUAGUCUUAGAAAUCAAUUUUUGGAUAGUCGAAAUAAUUCUAUUUUUAUUUGUUUUAUUAAUUCUUUCGGGAUUUGCUUCAUUAUUGUGGAUGUUUUUCUCAAUAAUUUUCAUUUGUUUUCUUGUUGAUUCACGAAAAGGUUUUGUAUUGAUUCUUGGAAUAGUAAGGGUAGAUAUAAAAAUAUUUCUGUAUAUCUUUUCAAUGCCAAAUUUUAGAAACAAAUAGGAUUUACGGAUUAAUCGAGCGUUUCUUUUUUUUAAUAUCCGCCAAAUCCUUUUUGAUGGGUCUAAUAUUUUAACAGAAUACGUUGGUUUGUUCGAACUAAUAUUUGUUUCUUGAGUUAGCGAUCCUUUUUUCUUUUCUUUUGUAAUUUUAUAUAUUUGAUUUCUGAUUCUGCUUGUUCUAUUAGUCAGAUCUUUCAUUUUUUUUUCAGUCCGGGAUAAUUUCGUCCAAUCCAUAGAUGAAAUUUCAAUAGACGGUUCGUGAAUCAUCUGCUUACUGAUUAUCGAAUUUUUUUGAGUUUCCCUCAAUUUCUCGAUUUCUCUCAAGUUUAUUUUUGAAAGUUCUUUUAUUUUGCCUUCUUUAAAAUCCCUUAAAACUAUAAAAGACUUAGUUUUCAAUUUUCGAAUUUUUUUUUUUAGUUCUUUAAAAAUGGGUUCAAAAAAGGAACGUCGUUUUUGGGGAGAACCGAACGGCAUGUCAGUUUCCAGCCCAAAAAUUGUUAAAAAACAAACAUCAGUUUCUUGUUCACUUUUUGGAUCUUUAUGAGAGGAUUGUAUCGUAGAUCCGUGCCAGGGUUUCAGGUGAAAGGGGAAUAGGAUCUUUAUCUGAAUACCUUCUAUUAACCAGUUUUUCGGAAAUUCUGUUUCAGAUAAAUUAACACCACUAUAAGUGCAUUUAACAUAAAUUUCACGAUUCCAAUCCUUAAAAUCCUCGGACCACUCGGGAUCUUGGAAUAAUAGUAUGCGAACCACAUUUUUAGCUAUUAUCAAUAACGGUAAUACAAUAUAUUUUCUAAGAAUCGAUUGGAUUACUAACAUAGAACUUCUUAGUAUUCGAGUAAGUAAACGCUUAUCCCAUCCUUCUGCUUGUUUUAUACGUACCAUUUCUUGUCUUUGGUAUCUUUCGCCUUUGAGCUUCUUUUUUUCUUUUUUGUCCAAUUUUCUUGUCUUUGCGUUUGUAUAAUCAGAAAGUUUUUGGUUUUUAUUUUUUACCAUCCAAUUUCGAAGAAUUACUUUCAUCAGUUGGGAAAUAUCAAAAGACAAAUAAAGGGUUUUGUCUAUUCUGUCCAAAAAAAGAGGGGAAUGGGCAUUUGCUUGAACUGGUUUCCAAAUAACGGUUUUACGUCUUUGUGCGCGCAUGGAACCUUUUAUUAUAUAUCGACGAAAAUCCGAUUGUUCCAAAUAAUGGGGCAAAGACACAUCCCCUUUUGUCUGGUGAUCAACAGCAACCACUAAACGUUUGGCUUUUCGUGAACGAAAUGCAUGUUUCCCUCUUACAUUUUCGUCGUAUUCUCCCAGUUCUUGGUAUACAUUAUCGAUUAAUUUGUAUGACCACCGGGGAACUCUUUUACUAAUUUCUUUUAUCGCUUUUUUUCUAAUUUUUUGAUCAUUGGGAUCCGUUAUAACUGCAUCGAAUAAAAAAUUCAAACUUUUUAUUCGGUCUUCGGAAUCGAUGUGUUCUCGUUCCCGUUCGGUCAAUAAAGACCGCACUUCUUCGCUUGAAAAUGAUUUUCGAUUAAAUCGGUCUAUUGUCUGUUCAAAUUCGUGAUAAUCAUUAAUAAAAAUUAGAUUGUGAAUUUUAUUUAUCCAAGGCGUUCUUAUCUUAUUUUUGAUAUAAGUUGUAUUUAGGAUUGGGGGUGAAAAGAAUUUUUUGAUUCUUCCACGAUAAGGUCCGUUUAAUAAAGGAUCAUAUGUUUUAGGUAAGUAUUUUUUUUUAGUCUUAUCAUUACACAAUUGAGUCCUUUUUUCGAGUAUAUCCCGAAUAAGAGAUCCUUUAUCUAAACCCUCAAGUCGAUUUCUAAACUCCUUGCUUAAGUUCUUAAUUUUUUGGUUAUUAGUGUAAUUCCAAUGUGUAGAAAAUUCAUCAGAGGAUAGUUUUUCGGUUGCGAAAAAAUAAUUAUUUUUUUUUAUCAUGUCCAAAAAAGUUGACAAA
rnacentral:lncRNA from 1 species